GUUGGCGGCCACAGCGGCGGGGAAACACCCGGUCUCAUCCCGAACCCGGAAGUUAAGCCCGCCAGCGAUGGGCCUGGUACUGGGUCCCCUCGGACCUGGGAAAGGCCCGGCGCUGCCACCC
rnacentral:rRNA from 1 species